rnacentral:rRNA from 1 species
CAGCAGUGGGGAAUCUUGCGCAAUGGGCGAAAGCCUGACGCAGCCAUGCCGCGUGUAUGAUGAAGGUCUUAGGAUUGUAAAAUACUUUCACCGGUGAAGAUAAUGACUGUAGCCGGAGAAGAAGCCCCGGCUAACUUCGUGCCAGCAGCCGCGGUAAUACGAAGGGGGCUAGCGUUGCUCGGAAUUACUGGGCGUAAAGGGAGCGUAGGCGGACAUUUAAGUCAGAGGUGAAAUCCCGGAGCUUAACUUCGGAACUGCCUUUGAUACUGGGUGUCUUGAGUGUGAGAGAGGUAUGUGGAACUCCGAGUGUAGAGGUGAAAUUCGUAGAUAUUCGGAAGAACACCAGUGGCGAAGGCGACAUACUGGCUCAUUACUGACGCUGAGGCUCGAAAGCGUGGGGAGCAAACAGGAUUAGA